UGGGGAAUAUUGGACAAUGGGCGAAAGCCUGAUCCAGCCAUGCCGCGUGUGUGAAGAAGGUCUUCGGAUUGUAAAGCACUUUAAGUUGGGAGGAAGGGCAGUAAGCGAAUACCUUGCUGUUUUGACGUUACCGACAGAAUAAGCACCGGCUAACUCUGUGCCAGCAGCCGCGGUAAUACAGAGGGUGCAAGCGUUAAUCGGAAUUACUGGGCGUAAAGCGCGCGUAGGUGGUUCGUUAAGUUGAAUGUGAAAGCCCCGGGCUCAACCUGGGAACUGAAUCCAGAGCUGGCGAGCUAGAGUAGGGCAGAGGGUGGUGGAAUUUCCUGUGUAGGGGGGAAAUGCGUAGGUAUAGGAAGGAACACCAGUGGGGAAGGCGACCACCUGGGCUGAUACUGACACUGAGGUGCGAAAGCGUGGGGAGCAAACAGG
rnacentral:rRNA from 1 species